rnacentral:ncRNA from 1 species
CCUUUCGAGGAGCGUUGCAAGGUUCGUCUUUCAUCAAGGCACGGACCCCAGGCUCGAAAGUGCCUCCCCUGCAACCGCGCUCACCCGCA